GUUAAAGAUAGGUGAAACACCCAAGAGGGCUCUGUACUCGUUUUGCGUCUAUCCUGAUGCUUUCUCAACAUCUUAUAUUCUUACCAGUUUCUUUAUUAUUGUUUAAAUUCUAAAAGGUUAAUGUUCACUAUCAGGCAGGAUUGAACUAUUUAGCAAAAAGUGAGGUCCAUUUCAUGUUUUCCCUACAGUGAUUUUAGGGUUAAGCCCAAGACAGAC